rnacentral:rRNA from 1 species
UUCCGGUUGAUCCUGCCAGAGGUCACUGCUAUNGGGGUUCGAUUAAGCCAUGCGAGUCGAGAGGGUUCGGCCCUCGGCGUACUGCUCAGUAACACGUGGAUAACCUGCCCUAGGGGAGGGGAUAACCCCGGGAAACUGGGGAUAAUACCCUAUAGGUUACAGAUGCUGGAAUGCCCUGUAACCAAAAGCUCCGGCGCCCUAGGAUGGAUCUGCGGCCGAUUAGGUUGUUGUUGGGGUAACGGCCCAACAAGCCCGUAAUCGGUACGGGUUGUGGGAGCAAGAGCCCGGAGUUGGAUUCUGAGACACGAAUCCAGGCCCUACGGGGCGCAGCAGGCGCGAAACCUUUACAAUGCGGGCAACCGUGAUAAGGGAACCUCGAGUGCCUGUAAACGCAGGCUGUUCAGGUGUUUAAAACGCACCUGGAGAAAGGGCCGGGCAAGACCGGUGCCAGCCGCCGCGGUAAUACCGGCGGCUCGAGUGGUGGCCGCUUUUAUUGGGCUUAAAGCGUUCGUAGCUGGGUUGUUAAGUCUCUUGGGAAAUCUGGCGGCUUAACCGUCAGGCGUCUAAGGGAUACUGGCAAUCUUGGAACCGGGAGAGGUGAGGGUACUUCGGGGGUAGGGGUGAAAUCCUGUAAUCCUCGAGGGACCACCUGUGGCGAAGGCGCCUCACCAGAACGGCUUCGACAGUGAGGGACGAAAGCUGGGGGAGCAAACCGGAUUAGAUA